UUUUGGCCAAAAAUAACGCAUUAAUAUAUGCAUUUGAGGUGUUUUGCAAAGGAUCUAGAUUUGAGGUUUAUCAUUUCCUUAGAACUAUGGUUUGGACAAGUAACAAAGCAAGAGCUCAAAACAACCUUAGAUUGUUUCUCUAUGGAGGGUAAGUUCUCUAUUGCAAGCUAGAGAUGGCUAUGAUCUUAGACCAUGAUGAGGCUUGAUAUAAAAAAAGAAGAGCUCUCUCUCUUUCUUGUCCAAACCCUAGUUUUAAAGGAAUGAGUCCUUCAAUAAUUUUGUUGAGAGAACUAGCUCAACUGCUCAAGAGGUUAGUUGUCUCGUGCAAUUUGUAUACUAAUGCUCUUUUGUUCUAGUUAAUUGUUGCAUCUUGAACUAGAUUGUGUCCAAGAUUCAAUUUCUGGGAGCAACAAUUGUUGGGAGAGACAGUCACGUACUCCGAAACGAGAUUUGUUUAUUUACCCAUUGAGUAAGAAGAUUCCCUAUGCUACCAAAAAAAUCUUUAACUAGAACAAGUUGGCCAGAAACUAACGUGUGGGUGUCUAUGAGAAUUCUAACUCUCAAGUGAGAUUUCAGCUCCUCUCUAGUUGGAGAGUCCCUGGAAAAUUAAUAUUAUUUUUUAUUAAAAAAAUAACGUAAAAAUCAUGACCGUAAAAAUUUAUUUCUAUCACCUGCUGUAAUCUCCAUCUAGUACCGGAAAGGAUCAGAACUCCUCAACUACUAUUAUUUUAGAAAAGUAUUUUUACCCUCAUGGCCCCCUAACAAUUUAUAGGAGAGUGAAACCUAAAGUUGGUCGGGACAAGUUAAUAUUUAAGAAUAAAUAUUAUAUCCCCUUUCCCUUUCAAACAAAUUGAUUGAAGUUUUUUUCUUUCCAAUCUUGUUAGGUCCUAUUACUUUCGGCUGAAUUAUUGGAAACUGUAUAUUUAUAAUACUGAUGUGGUGAUAAGACAAUUAGGGCUACUCAAUUUUGGGCUCUUACAUAACUGGCUAUUGCUAAAAAAAACUCAGGGCUAUUCAGGUUGGAAAAAUAAUAAUUUUCUCAUACCAAAAGUGAACCAAUUAUUUCUGAGGUCCAAUUUUAUGAAAUUGGUAAUAGGCUGAAAGGGCCUAUAUUAGAGGUGGAUGAUAUAAAUUU